CCGUCGGGCCGUAAAGCUCCGGCCUCAAGGAAGAUAAUGACGGUACUUGGGGAGGAAGCCCCGGCUAACUACGUGCCAGCAGCCGCGGUAAUACGUAGGGGGCUAGCGUUAUCCGGAUUUACUGGGCGGAAAGGGUGCGUAGGCGGUCUUUCAAGGCAGGAGUGAAAGGCUACGGCUCAACCGUAGUAAGCUCUUGAAACUGGGAGACUUGAGUGCAGGAGAGGAGAGUGGAAUUCCUAG
rnacentral:rRNA from 1 species